rnacentral:rRNA from 1 species
UACACUCCUACGGGAGGCAGCAGUGGGGAAUAUUGGACAAUGGGCGCAAGCCUGAUCCAGCCAUGCCGCGUGAGUGAUGAAGGCCCUAGGGUUGUAAAGCUCUUUCACCGGUGAAGAUAAUGACGGUAACCGGAGAAGAAGCCCCGGCUAACUUCGUGCCAGCAGCCGCGGUAAUACGAAGGGGGCUAGCGUUGUUCGGAUUUACUGGGCGUAAAGCGCACGUAGGCGGACUAUUAAGUCAGGGGUGAAAUCCCGGGGCUCAACCCCGGAACUGCCUUUGAUACUGGUAGUCUUGAGUUCGAGAGAGGUGAGUGGAAUUCCGAGUGUAGAGGUGAAAUUCGUAGAUAUUCGGAGGAACACCAGUGGCGAAGGCGGCUCACUGGCUCGAUACUGACGCUGAGGUGCGAAAGCGUGGGGAGCAAACAGGAUUAGAUACCCCUGUAGUCCCAUGAU